rnacentral:rRNA from 1 species
AUUGAACGCUGGCGGCAGGCCUAACACAUGCAAGUCGAGCGAGCGGCGGACGGGUGAGUAAUGUAUGGGGACUGCCCGAUAGAGGGGGAUAACUACUGGAAACGCUGGCUAAUAUCGCAUCCGGUCGGAUAACCCAUAUGGGAUUAGCUAGUAGGUAAGGUAAUGGCCUACCUAGGCGACGAUCCCUAGCUGGUCUGAGAGGAUGAUCAGCCACACUGGGACUGAUACACGGCCCAGACUCCUACGGAGGCAGCAGUGGGGAUUAUUGCACAAUGGGCGCAAGCCUGAUACAGCCAUGCCGCGUGUAUGAAGAAGGCCCUAGGGGUGUAAAGUACUUUCAGUCGGGAGGCGUUACCGACAGAAGAAGCACCGGCUAACUCCGUGCCAGCAGCCGCGGUAAUAC